rnacentral:rRNA from 1 species
AGAUUGAACGCUGGCGGCAUGCCUUACACAUGCAAGUCGAACGGCAGCACGGGAGCAAUCCUGGUGGCGAGUGGCGAACGGGUGAGUAAUAUAUCGGAACGUGCCCAGUCGUGGGGGAGUAACGCAGCGAAAGCUGUGCUAAUACCGCAUACGAUCUAUGGAUGAAAGCGGGGGAUCGCAAGACCUCGCGCGAUUGGAGCGGCCGAUAUCAGAGUUAGCGUAGUUGGUAGGGGUAAAAGCCUACCGAAGGUCGACGAUCUGUAGCUGGUCUGAGAGGACGACCAGCCACACUGGAACUGAGACACGGUCCAGACUCCGUACGGGAGCAGGCAAGGUGGGGUAAUUUUGGACGAAGUGGGCGACGAAGCCUAGACUCCAGCAAUGGCCGCGUGCGAAGGAU